CACGUAGGGGGCGAGCGUUGUCCGGAUUUAUUGGGCGUAAAGAGCUCGUAGGCGGCUCGGUAAGUCAGGUGUGAAAACUCUAGGCUCAACCUAGAGACGCCACCUGAUACUGCCGUGGCUAGAGUCCGGUAGGGGAGCAUGGAAUUCCUGGUGUAGCGGUGAAAAUGCGCAGAUAUCAGGAGGAACACCAGUGGCGAAGGCGGUGCUCUGGGCCGGAACUGACGCUGAGGAGCGAAAGCGUGGGGAGCAAACAGG
rnacentral:rRNA from 1 species